ACAGGGAUUUCUGGGGUGAAGCCUGCGGUGAUCUCCUGGCUUGAAGGAGGAGCCCUAAGGUGGGGUAGAAGAGGCAUGUGUGCAGAAAGGAAAUCACAGCUUCAGGGGAUUUCACUGCAACAAUUUGAUUUGGGAAUUGAGUCACCAAAAACGAUUUCUUUUCACAGAGACUAUAAAGGAAUGGAGCAGUAAUUGGAAUCCUCCUGUGCAUUGUACAAGGAAGCAGCCAACCCCAGUGGAAUGUCUCUGAUCCUGCACUCUGUGACAAUAUCUCCAAGUCAGCAAUCCCGCCCUCUGCUCCAUGGGGAUGCUGAGAAAGGCUAAUGUCUUCUGAGGGAUAUCAGUGUGGAGAGAGCGACCUCACUGUGAAGAACCUCUCACCUGGGAAAAGUUCCUCACAGUCUGUUCUCCUCAGUUUCUGGACACAAACACCUCAAGGCAGCAGCCCCAGGAAUGUGGGAGAGGAGCACUGUUUAUAGUGAGUCCCACAUUCCGACAUUGGCAUAAGGAAAGUCACCAUGUACUGACCCUGUCCAAGAAUAAUGUUCCCUUAGAAACCUACAGUAGACAGAAUCCCCAGGAUCGUUACCAGGGAGAACAAACUUUGAGGCAGGUAUCAUCGCAGUGUGUCAGUGCAAAGAUUCCAAACUGGAGAGAAACUGUUUAUGUUUACAGACUGUGGGAACGCUUUCACUUCCCCCUCAAAACGUAUUAUACAUCAGAGAAUUCACACUGCUGAGAAACCUCAUGCAUGUGAGCAAUGUGGAGAGGCCUUUACCUUGUCCUCACAACUUGAUGGCCUCAGGGAAAUUCAUACAGGAAUGAAAACUUACUCAUGGCAGGACUGUGGGAAGGCCUAAACUUGCUCCUCUGAUCUCUUUCAUCACAGAAAGAGUCAUUCUGGAGAGAAACCUUAUUCACGUCAGGACUGUGGAAAGGUCUUUGCUUAUCACUGAAGCCAUUCUGUGCACAAGGAUAAUCACACUGGAGAGAAACAGUGAUUCUGUAAGACAUAUGGAAAGGCCUUCACUUGAUGGGCAGCCCUUAAAGGGCACAUGAAUACUCAUUCUGGAGAGAAGUCUUAUAUAUGUCAGGAGUGGGGGAAGAACUUUAGCAGAUCCUCAGUUCUUAGUAUACAUAGGAGAAUUCAUACUGGCAAGAAACUUCAUAAACUUAAGGCAUGUGGAAAGGCUUUCAGUGAUUUAUGAGCCCUUAAUAGGCAUAUGAAUACUCAUACUGGAGAGAAGCCCUUUGUAUGUCAGGAGUGUGGGAAGACCUUUAGCAGAUCCACGUAUCUUACUGUACAUAGUAGAAAUCCCAGCCUUAUGUAUGUCAGGAGUUUUGGAAGGCCUUCAGCAUGUCCUCCUAUCUUUCAGUACAUAGGAGAAUUCACACUGGAGAGAAGCCUCAUAAUUUUUAAGUUUGUGGAAGGGUCUUCACUCAGCAGUCAAUCUUUACUCAGCAUAUGAGAAGUCAUACUGGAGAGAUGCCUUAGUAGUGUCAGGAAUGUGGGAAGGCCUUUAGCUCAUGCUCAGUGCUCACUGUACAUAGGAGAACUCAUUUGGGAGAGAAGCCUUUUGUAUGUCAGGAGUGUGGGUAGAUCUUUCUCAGAUACUCAGAGCUGACUAGACAUAAUAGAAUGCACACUGUCGAGAAACCUUAGAAACGCAAGGCAUAUAGAAAGUCCUUCAUUUGAUCAUCUUCCCUUAUAACACAUAUGGGUACGUACAGUGCAGAGAAGUCUUAUGUAUGUCAGGAGUCUGGGAAGGCCUGACAUUCAUAAGGCAUAAUACAGUAGUAGGAUAGCCUUAACACUUACGUGUACUCAUAGGAGAAUUCACACUUGAGAGAAACCAUAUUAAUGUAAGGACUGUGAGACAGCCUUCAUCAGCACCAGUGAUUUCAUACUAGAGAGAAAUUGAAUGUGAGAAAUGUGGAAAGCGUAUUAUUUCUCAUGCCUUUGUGUUGGGGCUGGACUGAGCUAUCAGGGUGAGCCCAUGUAUACUGUACCGUACUACGGACAGGAACAUAGGGACCCAUGAAAAUGGGCGAGACUUCUCGUGUGUCCUGACUGGUUUGGAUGAAGCUGAACAUUUUCCCCCUUCAAGCUGCCUUCAGAAAAAUAAUUUCAGAAUACUGAAAAGAGCAGAUUUUCCUUCUCUCACAGAAGCCUGGCUGGUCUUUGACAUGCAGAUGGUGUUAGCCAGGCCUGACCUUUGAUAUUGUAAAUUGUAGAUUUCAGGUGCAGGCCCAGCUUUGUCUUUGGGAUGCAGAUUUCAGGUGCCUGCCCAGUUUGUAUUUGAAGUGGCAAGCACAGCCUAGUCUUUGGGAUGUAAAUCCAGGUGCCUGAAGAAGGUUUCAGUUUCGGUUUUGUAUCCAGGUGCCUGUAGGUUUCAGUUUCGGUUUUGUAUCUUUCCCUUCUCAGUUCUGUAUUCUUUUCCCGAGGCUAUAGGCCUACCCAUACAAGGAAACAAUAUGUUCCAUUGUCUCAAUGUUCUCCCUGUAACAUUUUUUGAUGCCUUUGGUGAAGUCACUAUAUUGCGCCCUUUAGAGGUACCAUGAUCAAUAAAAGGAGGUCCACGAGGCCCUCUGCCUUUGCUAAGAGCCAGAGCGAGCCUUAGUCC